rnacentral:misc_RNA from 1 species
ACCCCAUACACCUUGACGUGAGCGUGGAUGCUCUUUACUGUGUGCUCAAGGGCCCCGACCUCUCCUGCAACUACACGAAUGGUGAUCAGAGAAGAGAGACGUGAGGAAUACCACAACUCUGCAGACGGAUGAAAUAAGAAUCGGCAACUGUAUACAUUAUGUGAAGAAGCACUCUUAGAAUUUCAUCUAACCUCACUGAACUACGACUACACAUGAGGUGCACCUCGAAAGAUGAGAACAGAUUAUAUAUUUGAUCAGGAAAUACUGAACCGUAAAUUGUGGUGUAUCUCAUAAAUAGACUAAGUCAUGUGUUAUAAUGAAAUACAAAUUAAUAAUCAAAGUAACAGUUCCUCCUUAAUACUAGUUUUGUUUUUAAUUCUCUACGCGGAUAUUUUGUAUAGUAUUUGUGACAUAAGACGAGUAUAGUAAUUGUUCGGCUAACAAUAACUCAUUACCUUACUACAGUGUUAUUCAGUUUUUGUUGUCAUUCUACGAAAUGAUAUUCACUUGUAUAUAAUAUGAGACAGGGUGAUUCUUACCUUCAGAACCCAAUUGUGACGAACUACACGUGGCUGUCAGAAAACAGUUAGGUAAAUUUUCUUUUAGUUUUAGCCACUGCCCAUUUUGACCUCCCGAGUUGGUCCAUAAAGCUGGGUUAAGAUCAUGCUCAAAACCUGUUCUAUUAAUGACUCCGCUUAUAAUGAAAACUUAGCUUAAGGUUAUUCAUUCCUCGAUUGUUUGAGUAACAAGACCUGAAAACUUCUUUUAGAGUCGUCUACUAAUACUACUACAAAUACUUCUAGAGUUACUACAUCUACUAUUGAUAUUCAUACUAUUACAAAGAGCAGUGCAGCUACAAGUACUUCUUUUUUAUGUCUGAAUUAUAGGUGAAGAAUACAUGCCAUAACGACA